UUCCCCAGCGGUUCACCUGUGGAGCGUCUGUCUCGUAAACAGAAGGUCGGCGGUUCAAUCCCGCCUGGGGGCA
rfam:Caenorhabditis remanei strain PB4641 contig69.9, whole genome shotgun sequence.